UACGAAGGGGGCUAGCGUUGUUCGGAAUUACUGGGCGUAAAGGGCGUGUAGGCGGUCCGCUAAGUCAGGUGUGAAAGGCCUGGGCUCAACCCAGGAAAUGCGCCUGAGACUGACGGACUUGAGUCCGGGAGAGGAUGGUGGAACUCCCAGUGUAGAGGUGAAAUUCGUAGAUAUUCGCAAGAACACCAGUGGCGAAGGCGGCUCACUGGCCCGGUACUGACGCUGAGGUGCGAAAGCGUGGGGAGCAAACAGG
rnacentral:rRNA from 1 species